rnacentral:rRNA from 1 species
AUUGAACGCUGGCGGCAUGCCUUACACAUGCAAGUCGAACGGCAGCACGGGUGCUUGCACCUGGUGGCGAGUGGCGAACGGGUGAGUAAUACAUCGGAACGUACCUUAUCGUGGGGGAUAACGCAGCGAAAGCUGUGCUAAUACCGCAUACGCCCUGAGGGGGAAAGCGGGGGAUCGCAAGACCUCGCGCGAUUAGAGCGGCCGAUGCCUGAUUAGCUUGUUGGUGGGGUAAAAGCCCACCAAGGCGACGAUCAGUAGCUGGUUUGAGAGGACGAUCGACCACACUGGGACUGAGACACGGCCCAGACUCCUACGGGAGGCAGCAGUGGGGAAUUUUGGACAAUGGGGGCAACCCUGAUCCAGCAAUGCCGCGUGAGUGAAGAAGGCCUUCGGGUUGUAAAGCUCUUUUGUCAGGGAAGAAACACCGGCUCUAACACAAUCUGGGAAUGACGGUACCUGAAGAAUAAGCACCGGCUAACUACGUGCCAGCCGCCGCCGUAA